GGCUAAGCUACAGAGUGAGGCUGGGCUCCUUCCAGAAAGAUCUGCUCUAUAACUUUGAAAUUCUCCAUUGAUUUAUCAUGAAGACUUCCCUCUUCUGCUUCACAGAACAGGAGCUUCAGUGUAGGUGAUGUGUUUUAGACCUCGUGACUCUGGUAGUGUAGCCCUCGUGUACUCUUUCUACAGACAGAGCCCUCUUCCUCUCCAUCUCUCAUGCAGGGAAAGAAAAGCCAUAUAAGGAAGCUGUGGCCACCAUCCCAGAGCUUCAUUUCCUAAGGGUUGUAACUACUAGAGAGAUAGACUGUCCAGUCUUUAUGCAAAGACCUUGGAAACCCCUCAUAGGCUAUGUGACGGUGGCAGCCAUGUCUCAAUGGGCUGGCCUCUCUUCUCACCUGACUCUUAAGUCUCCAUGAGAUAUAAAGGAGACGAAGUCUGUGGGUUGAUUAGAGUGAUAUCAGUCUCCAACGAGCCAAGAGCUGACCUUGGUUUUGGACGGUUGCCACCACAAUGGUUUCAUGCCAAGGCUCCACACAGGGAUAGGGUGAGAAACAGGGUAGAAGGGAAGGUGAUGAGGAGAGCGCCUAUGCAAAGUUGUCAUGAAUAUGCCCAGACAAGGGGAUGCAAUGAGUUUCUCAGUGACUUCUGUUCACGUGUGUGUGUGUGUGUGUGCACAUUCAUUAUGUAUAUGUUAGUAAAUGUGAGAGGAGUAUGUGUAGAGGCCAUACAACAACCUCAAGUGAUAUCAUCAGGGAUAUUAUCCACCUAGUUUGAGGCAGGGUCUGUCUUUGGCCUAGUGUUGACCCAUUUGGCUCUCCAGGCUGUCUAGCAAGCUGCAGGGCCCCUGGUCUACACCAUUUCAGCUUUGGGAUUAUAAGCACACACAGACCACCUGCCUGUUGUGUUGUGUUGUGUUGUGUUGUGUUGUGUUGUGUUGUGUUGUAUUUUAUGUCGGUUCUGGUGUAUCAGCUUCACGCUUGUGAGACAAACACUUUACCAGCUGAACGAUUCUUUCCCCAGACCCUUCUUCUCUAUAAUUUUUAGGGAAUAACCUGGUGGAGAGCCGGGUUUCAUGGCCAGAGUAUCAAGCCAUAAAGUUAGACAUUUGACGACCCUUUUCCCUAAGAAGGCACAGCUGAGAAGGUCCUCAGUGCCCACCCGAGCAUGGCAGCUCUCCACAGCCUGUGUUAUCUCUCUUCCCAGCACCUUUCUUUAUGGUGUGGCCUCUCCCUCCCUUUACCCUCCUCCGUCCCUUCCUCCCUCCAUCCCUCCCUCCCAUGGAGGCCAUGUAACAGCACUAGGCUGAGGCCAGACACUGAUACUCAUUGGUGAGAGGGAGCCCAUCUUGACUGGGACUCUCAUGCCCUUGGACUCUAUCGAAACUUAAGUGUCACUUUGAGAACCCCCCAAAACACACUCGAGGGAGUAGCUAUAUGUCUGGGAGUAGUAGGUUCCUGGGAUCCAGUUUGUGAAAGGUAGUCUAGCCCUGUUUCCUCUCUCUCUCUCUCUCUCUCUCUCUCUCUCUCUCUCUCUCUCUCUCUCUCUCUCUCUCUCCCUCUCUCCCUCUCUCCCCUGUGUUCCCUGUGUUCCCUGCCUACCAGAUAUGAGAAUAGCAGAGUCCUGGCCACCAUGCCCAUCCCAACAUGCAUCUGUGAGCUGAACAAUGUCCUUCUUCCUUCUGAUUGUCACAUAUUUAGUGACAAAUAUGAAAAAAGCAAUUAAGACACCCUUGUAGGUCAUUUGUUCUCUCUGUGGUCUCAGGUGAGGGGCGAGGCUGUCUUAAACACACCCCCGAAGAGUUCAGGCUCACCCCAGCUGAGGUGUCCUUGUCACCACCUGUGAUCUGAGCACCAGCUGACAGGUUCUACCUGCACUCAGUGGAAGAACUUCUCAAGGGUCAACCCAUGGAGGGAGGGUGUGUAGGGACCAUCUUACACUCCCACCACUUCACUGUGUGAGAGUAAAGACCCCAGAGCCCAAAUGGUCAACAACAUUAAUCCCUGUGUUAAGUUUCUAUGGGGUUCUCUCUGCUGUUCUACUUUUUAAGUUUGUGCAGGUUGAACGUUGGGAUAUAGGAUGUGGAUGCUACUUUUAUUCCAUGUGAACUUGAUCAGGUCCUUCCAGUUUGUGGAUGACUUAAUCCUUGACUUUAUUCUCCAUGAGGUUGAAUUUUUCAAGGUUAUAGUCAUCGUAUGCUCACUCAACAGACAUCGGUUAAAUAUUUACCAUGGGCCAAGUGCUGAACUAGGUGCCUGGAAGGUGUGGCAUUUACCAGAAGAUCUCCCCAGUCCCUUACCCCUGAGGGUACAUUAGUAGUGAUCAAAGCAACCAGCUGGUCUUGCCUUCCUGGAGCUGACGUUAUCAUCAAGGGAAGCAGACUAAGCUACAUGCCUGUAUGAAGCAGAUAACUCCAGAGAAGGUAGUAAUUACCGUGGAGGAAAAUGUUCCCGUGACACAGUGGAAAGAGGGUUAUAAUUUUCAAAAGUGGUCUUUAGCGCUACAGAAAAUCUUGGAAGUGCCAACCAGGUGAUAUUCUGAAACCAGCUCUUAAAAAUAAUCAUUAACAGAGAGCAGUGUUUAUAAACCAGAGCCACAAGGGAGGGUCUGAAUGCUGCUGAAGGGGUUUCAAGUGCAUGGCCCCACCCUUCAGGAGCCAGCAGUGUCUGACCCUGUACCCCCACCCCCCACGACACACACAGACAAAAGGCUCAAGUCAAACUGGAUGUAUGCUGCCUUAAUACAAUGAAGCGGUGGACAAUGGCAUGCGUGUGCCCUACAUAUACUGAGAGUCAGAUGAUUUGAGAAGUAUCUGGAGAAUUUGGAGUUUCUAAGGAUUUAGUGACAUUCUUAGAGGGACUCUGAGAUGCCAAUUCACACCUCCCAAAGUGGAGCAAAGUUGUUUAUUCUGGUUUAGGAAAUGACUUAGAGGGGAUAAAGGUCACCCAGAAAGUGGCAAAGCUGGGGCUAAGCUCUCUCUUCCAGAUUUCCUCCCACUGAACCUUGAAGAAAGUGGUUCCAAAAUCCUCCCUCGUCAUGCUUCUCCGCCCUCCACCAGCACCGCACAGUGGUCCCUGUCCUUCCACCUGCCUGGGCAGAGCCUUGUAGCUUGAGAAUGGCGCAGAAGAGGGAUUUUACUUAACUCCAUGCUAUAUCAGUGUCCCGGGGAUCUACACUAGGAAAGCACUACAAACUGAGUGUCUGAAGCAAUGGAAAAAUACAGGUGAUGGACCAAUGAGAAGAGAGAAGAGGAAGAACAUGCUAGGCAGCUGUUUCUAGCUCCCCAGAGGCAGCAUUUGUUGGCUGUAGGAGUCCUGAGGCUGCAGGACAGACAACUUGCACUGAGGUGGCUGUUUUCCAGGUAUAACCCAGGGUGAGGCCUAGAAUAACUCCCAAUUUAAUCUUCUCUGUAUCAUCCAAACCCUGGUGGCCAGCAUGGGCCAGGCUCUUCCAAUUUACUUUAGCUUCGCUGGUAAAUAUUUUCCAGGGCUGACACACAGCAGACUCCUAACUUGUGUAUUCCAAGGCUUAGCACUAAUCCUACCCUCUGUGAGAAGGCUUCUGGGACUUCUUCCAAUCGGGGAGGUUCUCCACUAUCUCUGUGUCCCUGGUUAGCCUGCCUUAUCUUGGGUAUUGUACCAUGGCUGUCGAUCAAGAGACUGAAUAAAUGAGAGAAUCAUCAGGUCA